rnacentral:tRNA from 1 species
UGCAGCUUAGUUUAAAUAGAAUAGUUAAUUUGCACUUAACUGGUAAGAUUUCCUUAGCAGCAA